rnacentral:lncRNA from 1 species
GUAGCCGUGACUACGAGGACUCUGUGGAGCAGCAGGGGAGGGGGCGUGUCCAGGAGGACACUCGCCGUCGCCAGGAGCAACUUUCGCCUCAACCCCUCCCGCCGACUCCCCACAGGCCCCUCCCACUCAACAGGCCACACCCUCGGCCGCAGCAGAACGCCAUGGACCAGCAGAGGGAGCUGGCGAGACGCCGCGAGCAGGAAAGGAGGAGGAGAGAGGUGGUAAUACUUUAUAGCAGUAAUACUACUAUAAUACUAACAUGUUAUACUAGUAUAGCAGGAGAGAGGUGGCAAUACUUUAUAGCAGUAAUACUACUAUAAUACUAACAUGUUAUACUAGUAUAGUAGGAGAGAGGCGGUAAUACUACUAUAAUACUAACAUGUUAUACUAGUAUAGCAGGAGCGAGGCGGUAAUACUUUAUAGCAGUAAUACUACUAUAAUACUAACAUAAAAUACUAGUUUAGCAGGAGAGAGGCGGUAAUACUUUAUAGCAGUAAUACUACUAUAAUACUAACAUGUUAUACUAGUAUAGUAGGAGAGAGGCGGUAAUACUUUAUAGCAGUGAUACUACUAUAAUACUAACAUGUUAUACUAGUAUAGCAGGAGAGAGGCGGUAAUACUGUAUAGCAGUAAUACUACUAUAAUACUAACAUAAUAUACUUUUCUAGCAGAAGAGAGGUGGUAAUACUUUAUAGCAGUUAUACUACUAUAAUACUAACAUAAUAUACU